ACGACUCUCGGCAACGGAUAUCUUGGCUCUCGCAUCGAUGAAGAACGUAGCGAAAUGCGAUACCUGGUGUGAAUUGCAGAAUCCCGCGAACCAUCGAGUCCUUGAACGCAAGUUGCGCCCGAGGCCACUCGGCCGAGGGCACGCCUGCCUGGGCGUCACGC
rnacentral:rRNA from 1 species